ensembl:lncRNA
CCGGGCCCAGGGCUCACAUCCGCCGUGGGGAGGGCAACCUCCCGACCCCUCGGACCCACACGUACCACUGCAGCGCCGGUCGGCACCUAAGACUUAUUGUCUUGGAGAGCCCAGCCUUACCGAAACCCUGAGCCUACCUGGGGCCAGAAAGAGAAACCCCCAUUAAGAUUACAGUUAUGAGGCAGCAGGUGUACUAUAAGAACAAGAUCUGCAAGAAAAAAACUGGAGCCGGGAUGGGCCAUAUGAGACCAGCUGAGCAACAGAACACUUUGGCUCCUCUUUUGGAGAAGAAGGAGAGAAUCUGAGAACAAAACGUAAAAGACAAGAGAAAUAGAGGAUCCAAGAUUUCUUUUUUAAGAUGGCAGAGACCAGAGCAUGUUUGUAGGGAAAAAACUCUUUCCUUAGUGCCCAGGGAAAGAGGCACUAGAUUGGGAAAGAUUGAAAUUGAGAGGAAAAGAAUGAUAAGUUGCAUAGCACAAUGGGGAACUAGACUUGGAGUCAGAAAGACCUGACUUCAACUUCUCCCUCAGAUAUUCACUAACUGUGUAACUCUGGGCAACUCUCUCAACCCCUCUGGGCCUCAGUUUCCUUAUUUGUUAAAUGAGAGGGUUUAAUAAAUAAAAGACUUGGUGGUCUCUAAAGUUUUUGAGCUCUAAAUGCAAAAUGGUAGAUCAACCCAAUUUUUACAAUAAUGUACUGCAAACAUCCCAUAAAAGAAAAAUAAAAUUCAAAUUUCUUUUCUGGAAGGAAGGGGCACACACAAAAAAAUUCAAAUCAAAAUAGUGCCACAUCCCUAAACCCCAUGAUGUGGAAGGGAUAACUAUAUUAUUAUUAUUUACAAUGGACCUUGAGGAAGAAGAGGAUGAUAAUGUCUUGAAGAUAGCAAGUUAAGUGAUAUCUGAAUAGAGGCACUGAGCGUAGAGACAGGAAGACUUGUCCAGACAUAGUGGUAGGCUUGCAUGUGUGUGUACACAUACACACACACACACAGUUUUGUUUCAGUUCCACAAACACUUAUUAGCUACUUAUGUAUAGCUAGGUGGUAUGGUAGAUACACUGGGCUGGAAGUUAAGACCUGAGUGCAAAACCAAUCUCAGAUAGUCCCUAGUUGGGUGAUCUUGAGCAAGUCAUAUAACUUGUCUCAGUUUCUUCAUCUGUAAAAUGAAGGAAACAAUAGCACCUAUAUCUCACGGUUGUAAUUAGGACAAAAAUGAAAUACUUAUAAAGUGCUACUAUGUUAUUUAAAAUUGCCUUUCCUUCUUUUUACUAACAGUCCAGUUUCUCAAGAAGUCAGUUUUCUCCUCCCAGGGUGUCAGGCAGGGAUUGUGUUUGCUCCCUCUGGAGCACAAGAAGGUCUGAAGAUAGGACAAAAGGACUUGGUGAGAUUCUGUUCAUGAUUACAGAGGUCUGCCUUUUGCCCUCUUGCCCUUUUCCCUGGAGGCUGAUGAUUUCCUGGGAGUCAUUUGGACAGGGCCAGUUGAGGACUAUGUUGUUGCUGUAUAACAGAGGGGAAUUUCAUUCCAGACUUGCAGGAUCAACUUUUGAAGAAAGAUGCUUAUUAGUCAGCCUGGGAUAGAGAGGUCACUUCCUUGUUUAGCUCUCCCUUCAUUUUCAAUGUGUGUGUGUGUGUGUGUGUGUGUGUGUGUGUGUGUGAGAGAGAGAGAGAGAGAGAGAGAGAGAGAGAGAGAGAGAGUUUCAGCAACUCUUCUCUGUUUUCAUGCAAUCCCUUUCCUUUAAUUUUAUGUGAAUUGUAGCAGGGCUAAGUGUUUUCUAAUUGUUCUUCUAGUGUUCCAGACCCACGGAAUAGUGGGGAGAAUUUUUGUUAUGUCCAAUAAGCCUUGUGGUUGUAUCAAUGGUGCUUGACUAUAAGAUCACAGAAUCUAAAACUGGAAGAACUUAGAGGAUAACUAGUUCAACCUCUUCAUUUUACAGAUAAGGAAACUGAGGUCCAGAGAGGUGAAAAGACUUGUAGAAGAUUAUACAGGUAGCAUCAAAGUGGUAUUUGGGACCAGGGAUUUUUCAUAAUGUCACAAUGUACCAUGGAAUUAAGUAAAGUAUAUAAGAUUUUGUGGGGAUGGUUUAUUGAGAAAUUCCAUAAGUGUGGUAGGUUAUAGAUUUUUUCCUAAUAUUAAAAAAAUUCUGAAUCAUAUUAUAACAUCUCCUAGUAUAUAUAAAGAUCAGCAUCCUGUCAACAUAAAUUUUAACUCCUCAGCCUUUUGAGUUACUUGGUUUGCUAGGAGGCUGGAGAUGGUAAAGGAGAGAAGAGCUGACAAAAUAACUUGGCUGGUGGGUGGCUUGAGUUGAGCACUACCUGGUGAAUAAAACAAGUAUUACACUGCUUGCUGAAUAAUUAGGUAAUAAUCUCCCAUGCUGGAGGCUUAAGAAAAGCAACACAAGUCUAUGUGAGCAUAGAGUGACAUGGAUGGAUAGAAUAACCUUAAAUUAGCAAAUGCUAAUGCUAAAAGGGAUGACAACAGAGGGAGAGUGUAUAAGUGGGAGUGGGGAGAAAGGAAUAUGCUAAUUUCUCUUCUUAGUUGGAGUGCUGAGGGAUGUGAGUGAAGGAACAUCCUUAGCUGGAGAGGCUGAUCAGGCAUUCUCUGUUUUCCAGGAAGACUCAGCUUUUCCUAUGUACUGAAAGGUAAGUAAUUGUGACAAAUGGGAGACUGGAUAAAUCUGAGUUUGUUGACCACAGAAUAGACAUUCCAAAGAGAAACUUGGGCACACAUUGAUACAGUAUGGAUGCUAUUGUUUGCUACUAUGUAUGUGUAUCAACAAGCAUGUUUAUGUCUGAAUAUAUAUUCAUGUAUAUGUCAGUUUGUGUUUGUUUACUUGUAUGAAUUCAUGCUUGACUGUAUGCUUAUGUAUCUUAUCUUAUCGACCUUUGUCUAUGGGUACCUAUCCAUAUAGAUAUGUAUAUGUAUAUGUAUAGAU